rfam:Pelecanus crispus contig72400, whole genome shotgun sequence.
AUGAGUUGUUGAGGGACUUUGGACCCUCUAGUUCCCGACAGGAGAAGGUGGCUCGAAGAUUAUCAAACUGAGCCCUAUUCUCCUCCAUUGACAUUGUACAUGUUUGUUAGUAAAGUCGAACUAUUUUAAGGUCUUAAUAUUGUAGUUGAUUUGGUUUUCUAUUUAAGGUGGGAGCUGAACCCCAUUUUUUAAGGGCAACAAAAGCUUGGUUGAAGGUUGGUUCUCAGAUAGGGUGAGAUAGUAUGUAGGGAUCUUGGGGCUCAGGAUCAUGAUGCGUUACAUCCAAAUUCCCACCUAAGACAUUAACUACUGGUCUUGACCAAGGUGGACAGGCUACCUUUACUUAACCCUGGAAAGGAACAUGUAUAAUUUAUAUAUGUUCGUUAAAUAGCCAAAUACCUCAUCUUCUAAUUAGUGACAUGCAUGAAUGGAUGAACGAGAUUCCCACUGUCCCUACCUACUAUCCAGCGAAACCACAGCCAGGCCUUGGUGGAGUCAGCGGGGAAAGAAGACUCUGCUGAGCCUGACUCUAGUCUGGUGCUGUGAAGAGAUGAGAGGUGUGGAGUAAGUGGGAGGCCGGGUGUGCGCUCAGCGGUGUGGGGCGACCUGCCUGCCGGCGUCCCGGCCGUCAGUGAAAUACCACUACUCUGAUCGUUUUUUCACUUACCCAGUGAGGCGGGGAAGCAAGCCCCGAGGAGGGCUCUUUCUUCUGGUGCCAAGUGCCUGGUGCGCGCCGGGCGCAACCCGCUCCAGGAACAGCGGUAGGUGGGGAGUUUGACUGGGACAGUACACCUGUCAAAGCAUAACGCAGGUGUCCUAAGGUGAGCUCAGGGAGGACAGAAACCUCCCGCAGAGCAGAAGGGCAAAAGCUCUCUUGAUCUUGAUUUUCAAUACGAAUACAGACCGUGAAAGCAGGGCCUCACAAUCCUUCUGGUUUGGCUUUUUAGGUUUUAAGCAGGAGGUGUCAGAAAAGUUACCACAGGGCUAACUGGCUUGUGGCAGCCAAGAGUUCAUAGUGACGUUGCCUUUUGAUCCUUCGAUGUCAGCUCCACCUAUCAUUGUGAAGCAGAAUUCACCAAGCGUUGGAUUGUUCACCCACUAAUAGGGAACAUGAGCUGGGUUUAGACCAUCAUGAGACAGGUAAGUUUUACCCUACUGAUGAUGUGUUGUUGCAAUAGUAAUCCUGCUCAGUACAAGAGGAACUGCAGGUUCAGACCCCUGGUGCGUGUGCUUGGCUGAGGAGCCACUGGCGCGAGGCUGCCAUGUGCGGGCAUAUGACUGAACGCCUCUAAGUCAGAAUCCCGCCUAGACGUAGUGAUACAACAGUGCCACUGGUGCCUUGGCGGGCUAGCGACAGCUAGCUGCCUGCCCCCACGCAGGGCAGGCCCAGUGCGGAGCGCCUCUUGUAGUCAGGACCAGAGGGGUGGACAGAUGUGGCGCCACCUCUCCCCCGUCGCGUACCGCAUGAUCGUGGGGCACCCGGCACUAAAUCAUUUGUAGAUGACCUGAUUCUGGGUCAGGGUUUUGUAGGUAGCAGAGCAGCUCCCUCACUGUGAUCUAUUGAGAAACAGCCCUCCACACAAGCUUUU